GCGAGAUUAACUCAGAGGUAGAGUACUUCCUUGACGUGGAAGGAGUCGCGGGUUCGAAUCCCCCAUCUCGCACCA
rnacentral:tRNA from 2 species